GAUGAACGCUGGCGGCGUGCCUAAUACAUGCAAGUCGAGCGAACAGACGAGGAGCUUGCUCCUCUGACGUUAGCGGCGGACGGGUGAGUAACACGUGGAUAACCUACCUAUAAUACUGGGAUAACUUCGGGAAACCGGAGCUAAUACCGGAUAAUAUAUUGAACCGCAUGGUUCAAUAGUGAAAGACGGUUUUGCUGUCACUUAUAGAUGUAUCCGCGCCGCAUUAGCUAGUUGGUAAGGUAACGGCUUACCAAGGCAACGAUGCGUAGCCGACCUGAGAGGGUGAUCGGCCACACUGGAACUGAGACACGGUCCAGACUCCUACGGGAGGCAGCAGUAGGGAAUCUUCCGCAAUGGGCGAAAGCCUGACGGAGCAACGCCGCGUGAGUGAUGAAGGUCUUCGGAUCGUAAAACUCUGUUAUUAGGGAAGAACAAAUGUGUAAGUAAAUAUGCACGUAUUGACGGUACCUAAUCAGAAAGCCACGGCUAACUACGUG
rnacentral:rRNA from 1 species